rnacentral:rRNA from 1 species
CACGUAGGGACCAAGCGUUGUCCGGAUUCAUUGGGCGUAAAGAGCUCGUAGGCGGUCUGUCGCGUCGGAUGUGAAAACCCGGGGCUUAACCCCGGGCCUGCAUUCGAUACGGGCAGACUCGAGUGUGGUAGGGGAGACUGGAACUCCUGGUGUAGCGGUGAAAUGCGCAGAUAUCAGGAAGAACACCGGUGGCGAAGGCGGGUCUCUGGGCCACUACUGACGCUGAGGAGCGAAAGCGUGGGGAGCAAACAGG